UACGAAGGGGGCUAGCGUUGCUCGGAUUGACUGGGCGUAAAGGGCGCGUAGGCGGUUCGUACAGUCAGACGUGAAAUUCCUGGGCUCAACCUGGGGGCUGCGUUUGAUACGUGCGGACUUGAGUGCGGAAGAGGGUCGUGGAAUUCCCAGUGUAGAGGUGAAAUUCGUAGAUAUUGGGAAGAACACCGGUGGCGAAGGCGGCGACCUGGUCCGAUACUGACGCUGAGGCGCGAAAGCGUGGGGCGCAAACAGG
rnacentral:rRNA from 1 species